rnacentral:tRNA from 1 species
GGCGGCGUAGCUCAGAUGGCUAGAGCACGCGGUUCAUACCCGCGGUGUCGUUGGUUCAAUUCCUACCGCCGCUACCA